rnacentral:rRNA from 1 species
AUCCGGGUAAUGCCGGGCACUCUGGAAGGACUGCCAUCGACAAGAUGGAGGAAGGUGGGGAUGACGUCAAGUCAUCAUGGCCCUUAUGUCCAGGGCGACACACGUGCUACAAUGGCCGGCACAACGGGAAGCGAGUUCGCGAGGACGAGCGGAUCCCUCAAAGCCGGUCGCAGUUCGGAUUGAAGUCUGCAACUCGACUUCAUGAAGCUGGAAUCGCUAGUAAUCGUGGAUCAGCCAAGCCGCGGUGAAUACGUUCCCGGGCCUU